rnacentral:lncRNA from 13 species
GGGUCGAACAAUGUUGCAGUAUGGCCGAAGCUGUAAGAAAUAUCUGGUCACACUCGGUACAAUAAUUGUAAUUCUUAGUUUGGCCGCUAGUCGCGUGCGUAUCGUUCCGUUAGCGAAACGCCAUUGGCUCUCCUCACCACGUGACUCGAGACUGUAACACCAUUGGCUCUGCGUCUUAAGCGAAGUCGUGAUUGGCUCAAGCCCGCGACACUAGCGCGCCCGUGCGUUCUCUUAAAGGAACCUUUCCGGGGAAGAAAGACUUCCCGGCGUCACUUCUCUUCGGACCACGAAGGAUCGUCCGCCAUGCGGACGAAUACAAUAAAGUAUUGUUUUACUUCGCAAGCUACCGACUGUGAUAUCUCUGCCCUUCCAUCCAUCCCUGACUACUCCCUUACAGUACUGUGUCUGCAGGCUGGCGGCAGAUUCGAUCAAGACGUGUUGGCAGACUGAACUCAACUGAUCUCAAAUUCUGCUUACGUUCUGUUGACAGAACCUGUUGAUAUUCUAUGUCAGCAGAAUGACAGCACCAGGCGAGCACGCUGUUGCGCAGAUUAAUGGCAAGAUAGCAGCAUCAAAUUACCUCGUGAUAUUGGCAAUAUGGCAGUAUUGCAUCAAUCUUUAUGGUUAUUAUGGUAACAGUAUAACAUAAUGACAAUAGAACUUUGAUGAUGACGAUUUCCAAGAUGCCGACAAAACGCUGGCAAGUUGUUACCAAAAAUUGUGUAUUAUAUCGUAACGACAAUUUGUUAACGGUUACUGUAAGUCUACUAGCAUCUGCAUAUUAUGAUGCAAGCUUGCAACAAUAACAUAAACGUGUUGUUGUCGGAGAAGCUGCGCAAUAACAAUGCAAUGAUACGUUGUCGUUAAUAGUCACAUAAUAGGGAUCGAUUUAGUUUCUAAUUUAACUUUUCAUGUUCUCUAUUUCAAUGGAUUAUAAAAAAUAAAUUAGUCGAAAAUCA